rnacentral:lncRNA from 1 species
ACGAGCUGCGCGGGCACCGGGACUACGUGCACUGCCUGGCGCUGCGCGACCAGCUGCACCAGUGCCUGUCGGGCGGCGAGGACGGCACCGUGCGCCUCUGGGAUCUCCGCACGGGAGCGCAGGUGCAGGUCAUCGAGGUGCACAAGUACGAGGAGUGCAGCCGGCCCCAGAACGGGAAGUGGAUCCGGUGCCUGGCCACGGACUCGGACUGGAUGGUGAGCGGGGCCGGGGGGGCGGCAGUGUAGGACUGGGGGGGGGUUGCGGGGCUUGGGGGGGGUUGUGGGGCCAGGGGGGCAGUGUGGGGCCGGUGGGGGCCCCCCCGCCUGCCCA